AGAGUUUGAUCCUGGCUCAGGACGAACGCUGGCGGCGUGCCUAAUACAUGCAAGUCGAGCGAACAGAGAAGGAGCUUGCUCCUUUGACGUUAGCGGCGGACGGGUGAGUAACACGUGGGCAACCUACCUUAUAGUUUGGGAUAACUCCGGGAAACCGGGGCUAAUACCGAAUAAUCUAUUUUACUUCAUGGUGAAAUACU
rnacentral:rRNA from 1 species